CCUGCUGAGGUGAAAUAAAAUGAAUAUGGGUAUCCAGGCCUCCUGCUGUCAGGAUCAGUCCUUCGGCAGCCAAAGCCUCUGUAGACGCACCCACAGUCAUCCCCGGGGUUACCCCGUCCAUAACUGCCGGAUUCCCCGCUUUUCCAAUACCUGCAAUGCGGCCGUUUUUAAUGCCUACAUCUGCCUUAUAAAUACCUGUAUAAUCCACGAUCAGCGCAUUGGUAAUGACCAGAUCCAGGUCGCCGUCUGCGCUUGUGGUGGUUACUGACUGUCCCAUGCCGUCUCU
rnacentral:sRNA from 1 species